GACGAACGCUGGCGGCGUGCCUAAUACAUGCAAGUAGAACGCUGAAGGAGGAGCUUGCUUCUCUGGAUGAGUUGCGAACGGGUGAGUAACGCGUAGGUAACCUGCCUGGUAGCGGGGGAUAACUAUUGGAAACGAUAGCUAAUACCGCAUAAUAUUGACUAUUGCAUGAUAGUCAAUUAAAAGGUGCAAUUGCAUCACUACCAGAUGGACCUGCGUUGUAUUAGCUAGUUGGUGGGGUAACGGCUCACCAAGGCGACGAUACAUAGCCGACCUGAGAGGGUGAUCGGCCACACUGGGACUGAGACACGGCCCAGACUCCUACGGGAGGCAGCAGUAGGGAAUCUUCGGCAAUGGACGGAAGUCUGACCGAGCAACGCCGCGUGAGUGAAGAAGGUUUUCGGAUCGUAAAGCUCUGUUGUAAGAGAAGAACGAGUGUGAGAGUGGAAAGUUCACACGGUGACGG
rnacentral:rRNA from 1 species